CUACCGUCUGUAAGCUGUUAGUGUCUUAACGACCGUUCCACAGGUGCAUGUUCAUUAAUUGUUUAUGGUUCAUUGAACAAGCAUGGGAAACAGCGUUUAAACCCUUUACAGUGAAGAUCUCUGAAGUUAUUUGGAUUUUUUCCGAAUUAUCUUUGAAAGACAGGGUCCUGAAAAAGGACCGUUUUCUUUUUUUCGUGAGUUUAGCUAGCCAGAUCCAGGACAGGUGUUACCGAGGCGUAAUGCUCCUGUACAACUCCUCAGGGACAAACGGAGGUUCUGGGUAUAUCUGGACAUAUACAUGCUACACACACACACACUCGCCCAGAGCAAGAGGACCAAGAGCCCGGAUCCAGCACCAGUGCAAAACCAUGCCUCGUCUUUGUGUCUCAAUGCUGCUCUGGGUCGUCCUGCUGGGUCUCCUCUCUCUAAUAGGUAAGUCAGCCUGUUAUAGCACUCUACAGAGCGGAGAGCCUCCGAGCCUGUGCCAUUUUCAUUUUCAGUGAUAAUGGAAGGCACCCAAUCCAAAAUCUCUUCAAUGGCAUUUUAUCCUAUUUUGCGCAUAAGGGUAGUAUUGGAUUGCGAUGUGUACUUGGAUAAAACUCAAGUCUGAAGUGGUGGUGGCGGCCUCCUUUCUUCAAUUAAUCUCUCCAAUAUCUCUGUGGGCCUGAUGUG
rnacentral:lncRNA from 1 species